UAAAACCAACGUGUGUAAGGGUUCGAUUGUGAUCCUGGGAAAACAAUCGGGGUGGUUCUAGUCGGUGAGCCUGGAAAAAUCGACCGAGUUCGUUGUGAGCUCGUAAAACAACAAGUUUGGUUGUGAGCUUGGAAAACAACCGGCUGUAAUCCAAGGGGGUUAUAGUGAAUUCCCAAGUGAGACUUGGGGAGUGGACGUAGGAGCAAGGAUUAGCUCCGAACCACUAUAAAACUUGGUGUUUGUGAUUGAUUGUCUCUCUUCUUCUUCCUCUCAUAUCACUCACAGCACAUAGCAAUUAAUUAAACAACUUGCAAUAGUUUUAAUUAGUCAUUCACAACAUUUUAAAUAUUCAAAUUAUUCUAAAACCCAAUUCACCCCCCCCCCUCUUGGGUUGUCUAUCUGGGCAACAAUUACCUUCUGGUGGAUCUACUAAGGUCCAGACUUGGUUGGAAUGCAUGGAGUCUAACUCUGACUUCAUAGCUUCCAACCAUUUCUCGGAAUCGACAUCAGAUAUCGCCUCGUUGUAGGUUUUGGGAUCCUGUAUGUGAUCCCUAUCUCCCACUAGGAACAUUUCCUCGGUAUCCUCUUCUAGUAUACCUAAGUAUCUAUCGGAAGGAUGGGAGACCCUACUAGAUCUGCGAGGUGGUUGAGGGACAUCGUGUACUGGCUCUGUAUGAAUGGGUUCGAUAGGAUCCAU
rnacentral:lncRNA from 1 species